UCUCUGCCUUUCUGUUUCUAGGUCCUUAAUGCUUUGUUCAACCUUUGCAAAAAUAAUAAAAGAAGACAGGAACAAGCAGCCGAAAAUGGAAUCAUCCCUCACUUGAUGAAAUUUGUCAUGUCAGACUCACCUCUGCGGCAGUAUGCCCUGCCUUUGUUGUGUACUUAAAUCUGCUGGAGGAUGAUGCAUGGGCAUGCACGGCAUUAGAUUCUAUUGCUGUUUGUUUGGCUCACGAUAAUGAUCACAGAAAACUGGAACAAGCACUGUUGAAAAAAGAGGCCAUUCAGAAUUUAGUGAAGUUCUUCCAAGAUUGCCUAGAACAGUUUUUUGGCCAUAUAUUGGACGCUUUCUUGAAGAUAAUAAUGAAAUCUUCUAGGUUAAAUACAACAAUGGCUACCAAUGGUUUAACAACAUUGCUCAUUGCAAGACUUGACCAUUCAAAUUUGGUGGUCGCAAAAGUGUGGAGACUUGAAUUCAUAUAAAGUUAGGCUUAACAUUAGUGCAAACAGUUGUAUUUUAGUUUAGAUUUAGAGUACACUAAUGUAUGCGUUGUUUGACAAUGCUUAUUUAUGAUAUAUUGAAUGGUACUUAUUUAUAUU